GAUGAACGCUGGCGGCGUGCCUAAUACAUGCAAGUCGAGCGAACGGACGAGAAGCUUGCUUCUCUGAUGUUAGCGGCGGACGGGUGAGUAACACGUGGAUAACCUACCUAUAAGACUGGGAUAACUUCGGGAAACCGGAGCUAAUACCGGAUGAUAUUUUGAACCGCAUGGUUCAAAAGUGAAAGACGGUCUUGCUGUCACUUAUAGAUUGAUCCGCGCUGCAUUAGCUAGUUGGUAAGGUAACGGCUUACCAAGGCAACGAUGCAUAGCCGACCUGAGAGGGUGAUCGGCCACACUGGAACUGAGACACGGUCCAGACUCCUACGGGAGGCAGCAGUAGGGAAUCUUCCGCAAAGGGCGAAAGCCUGACGGAGCAACGCCGCGUGAGUGAUGAAGGUCUUCGGAUCGUAAAACUCUGUUAUUAGGGAAGAACAUAUGUGUAAGUAACUGUGCACAUCUUGACGGUACCUAAUCAGAAAGCCACGGCUAACUACGUG
rnacentral:rRNA from 1 species